rnacentral:rRNA from 1 species
GAGUUUGAUUGGCUCAGAUUGAACGCUGGCGGCAGGCCUAACACAUGCAAGUCGAGCGGAUGAAGGGAGCUUGCUCCUGGAUUCAGCGGCGGACGGGUGAGUAAUGCCUAGGAAUCUGCCUGGUAGUGGGGGAUAACGUCCGGAAACGGGCGCUAAUACCGCAUACGUCCUGAGGGAGAAAGUGGGGGAUCUUCGGACCUCACGCUAUCUGAUGAGCCUAGGUCGGAUUAGCUAGUUGGUGGGGUAAAGGCCUACCAAGGCGACGAUCCGUAACUGGUCUGAGAGGAUGAUCAGUCACACUGGAACUGAGACACGGUCCAGACUCCUACGGGAGGCAGCAGUGGGGAAUAUUGGACAAUGGGCGAAAGCCUGAUCCAGCCAUGCCGCGUGUGUGAAGAAGGUCUUCGGAUUGUAAAGCACUUUAAGUUGGGAGGAAGGGCAGUAAGUUAAUACCUUGCUGUUUGACGUUACCAACAGAAUAAGCACCGGCUAACUUCGUGCCAGCCGCCGCCGUAAG